GCCGGUGUAGUUCAACGGUUAGAACAAGACACUCAUAAAGUCUAGACGAUGGUUCAACUCCAUCCAUCGGCA
rnacentral:tRNA from 1 species